rnacentral:rRNA from 1 species
GCUGGCGGCAGGCCUAACACAUGCAAGUCGAGCGGUAACAGAAAGAAAGCUUGCUUUCUUUGCUGACGAGCGGCGGACGGGUGAGUAAUGCCUGGGAAUAUGCCUUAGUGUGGGGGAUAACUAUUGGAAACGAUAGCUAAUACCGCAUAACGUCUUCGGACCAAAGAGGGGGACCUUCGGGCCUCUCGCGCUAAGAUUAGCCCAGGUGGGAUUAGCUAGUUGGUGAGGUAAAGGCUCACCAAGGCAACGAUCCCUAGCUGGUCUGAGAGGAUGAUCAGCCACACUGGAACUGAGACACGGUCCAGACUCCGUACGGGAGGCAGCAGUGGGGAAUAUUGCACAAUGGGGGAAACCCUGAUGCAGCCAUGCCGCGUGUAUGAAGAAGGCCUUCGGGUUGUAAAGUACUUUCAGUCGUGAGGAAGGCAUUGUAGUUAAUAGCUGCAGUGCUUGACGUUAGCGACAGAAGAAGCACCGGCUAACUCCGUG